rnacentral:rRNA from 1 species
GACGAACGCUGGCGGCGUGCUUAACACAUGCAAGUCGAACGGAGUGGCGAACGGGUGAGUAACACGUGGGUGAUCUGCCUUGCACUUCGGGAUAAGCUUGGGAAACUGGGUCUAAUACCGGAUAGUGCAAGAUGAGCUCGCGGCCUAUCAGCUUGUUGGUGGGGUAAUGGCCUACCAAGGCGUCGACGGGUAGCCGGCCUGAGCGGGUGGACGGCCACAAUGGGACUGAGAUACGGGCCAGAAUCCUAAGGGGGGCAGGAGUGGGGAAUUAUGCACAAAGGGCGGAAGGCUGAUGCAGGGGCGCCGCGGGGGGGAUGAAGGCCUUCGGGUUGUAAACUCCUUUCGACAGGGACGCGGUACCUGUAUAAGAAGCACCGGCUAACUACGUGCCAGCAGCCGCGGUAAUUC